UCAAAAAAAGCCUUGUAUGCAGAUUAACGAGCUCGUAGUUGGAUUUCGGAAGGUCCUUAGCAAUCCGCCCCUUCGGGGAGCGGGUUGCUGGCCUCCUAUGUUCCUAACGGUCCUCGUCCGCGAGGGCGGGGAAUCAACCGCUAGGAUCGUUUACUUUGAGGAAAUUAGAGUGUUCAAAGCAGGCGUAACUCGCCUCCGAAUACGUUAGCAUGGGAUAAUGGAAUACGACUUCGGUCUUGUUUCGUUGGUUUCGCUUGGCUGAAGUAAUGAUUGAUAGGGACAGUUGGGGGCAUUAGUAUUUAGUUGUCAGAGGUGAAAUUCUAGGAUUUACUAAAGACUGACCAAUGCGAAAGCAUUUGCCAAGGAUGUUUUCAUUAAUCAAGAACGAAAGUAGGGGGAUCGAAGACGAUCAGAUACCGUCGUAGUCUCUACCGUAAACUAUGCCGACCAGGGAUCCGGAGAGUUUGCAUGGAUGACUCCCCGGGCACCUUGUGAGAAAUCAUAAGUGUUUGGGUUUUGGGGGGAGUAUGGUCGCAAGGCUGAAACUUAAAGGAAUUGACGGAAGGGCACCACCAGGAGUGGAACCUGCGGCUUAAUUUGACUCAACACGGGGAAACUUACGAGGUCAGGACACUGUGAGGAUUGACAGAUUGAAAGCUCUUUCUUGAUUCAGUGGGUGGUGGUGCAUGGCCGUUCUUAGUUGGUGGAGUGAUUUGUCUGGUUAAUUCCGUUAACGAACGAGACCUUAACCUGAACCGACAAAUCACUCCACAACUAAAAC
rnacentral:rRNA from 1 species